rnacentral:rRNA from 1 species
CUGGUGCCAGCAGCCGCGGUAAUUCCAGCUCCAAUAGCGUAUAUUAAAGUUGUUGCAGUUAAAAGCUCGUAGUUGAAUUUCGGGGUCAGUAGAUUGGUCAUGCCUCCGGUAUGUACUGGUCUUACUGGCUCCUCCUUCCUGAUGAACCGUAAUGCCAUUAAUUUGGUGUUGCGGGGAGACUGGACUGUUACUUUGAAAAAAUUAGAGUGUUUAAAGCAGGCUAACGCUUGAAUACAUUAGCAUGGAAUAAUGAAAUAGGACGUUCGAUCUUAUUUUGUUGGUUUCUAAGAUUGACGUAAUGAUUAAUAGGGAUAGUUGGGGGCAUUAGUAUUCAAUUGUCAGAGGUGAAAUUCUUGGAUUUAUUGAAGACUAACUACUGCGAAAGCAUUUGCCAAGGAUGUUUUCAUUAAUCAAGAACGAAAGUUAGGGGGAUCGAAGACGAUCAGAUACCGUCGUAGUCUUAACCAUAAACUAUGCCGACUAGGGAUCGGAUGAUGUUAAUUUUUUUAAUGACUCAUUCGGCGCCUUACG